UUUGUAAACUUCUGUAGAGAGAGAGAGAACCUCCACUCUGUGGAGAUUGAUAGUAUCUCUAAAGUAAGCUCCGGCUAACUACGUGC
rnacentral:rRNA from 1 species